GAUCAAGAAGACAAAAAUUGCACUUAAUUUCGACUUAAGCCUAGAUAAUAUCGAUUUAUCCUUGCUCA
rnacentral:tRNA from 1 species